CCUACGGGAGGCAGCAGUGGGGGAUAUUGCACAAUGGGGGGAACCCUGAUGCAGCGACGCCGCGUGGGUGAAGAAGCGCCUCGGCGCGUAAAGCCCUGUUAGCAGGGAAGAAAAUGACGGUACCUGAAGAAGAAGCCCCGGCUAACUACGUGCCAGUAGCCGCGGGAAUACGGAGGGGGCAAGCGCUAUCCGGAUUUACUGGGUGUAAAGGGGGCGCAGACGGGGAUGCAAGCCCGGAGGGAAAGCCCGGGGCCCAACCCCGGGACUGCUCGUGGAACUGCGUGGCUGGAGUGCAGGAGGGGCAGGCGGAAUUCGUGGUGUAGCGGUGAAAUGCGUAGAUAUCAGGAGGAACACCGAUGGCGAAGGCAGCCUGCUGGACUGCAACUGACGUUGAGGCCCGAAAGCGUGGGGAGCAAACAGGAUUAGAUACCCGUGUAGUC
rnacentral:rRNA from 1 species